CAACAAUGAAGUCUUCAAGUCGGCUUGAAUCGGCUGUUUUUCAACUCACUCCAACUCGGACAAGGUGUGAUUUGGUUCUCUCCGCAAAUGGAAAGACGGAGAAAAUAGCUUCCGGUUUGGUUAAUCCAUUUCUUGCCCAAUUGAAGAUUGCGCGAGAUCAAAUGGCCAAGGGGGGUUACUCAAUUAUUCUUGAGCCAGAGCUUGGAACUGAUGCAACAUGGUUCACAAGAGGAACAGUUGAAAGGUUUGUUCGUUUUGUGAGCACUCCAGAGGUCUUGGAACGCGUGUAUGCCUUGGAAUCUGGGAUCUUGCAGAUUGAAGAGGCAAUUGCGAUUCAAAGUAACAAUGAAAUGAGGUUGGCCAUGGUAUGAUAAAUCCUUGAGAAACUUAUGAUCUGUAAAUCGGAUCCUAUAUUUUGAUUUCAGUCAUUUUUUAUUGCACAGGUCAAAGAUCAUCAAACAAAAUCUGUGGAACACAUUGAAGGUAGCAGGCCUCUGCUGGAUUCUAAUGAGGAGAAAGCCAUUGUCCUUUACAAGGUGGGUGCACACCUAAUAAUUCUCAUACAAUGGUUUUUGACAGUGAGAGA